rnacentral:lncRNA from 1 species
AAAAAACAAAAAAAAAAGCUAUUUGUUCACUAUCACUCUUGUCGUUUCACAUUUUUCACUUUAAUACCCUAAAUAAAAAUAAAAUAAAUUUCAAAUAUCACUUCUUUAGUUUUGUAUUUUUCACUUUAGUAUCAUGCAGUAUAAAAUCUCAUAUAUAAAAAAUCUCAGAUACUUUAUUUUAUUGAAUAUUUAGUACUAUAUGAUUUUAACUUUAUCAUUGAUAUAAUGCAAAAAAUUAAUAGAGGGGAUAAUGAAAAGAGAAAAAUAAAAUCAUAGAAUACUAAAGUGAUUAAAUAAAUCACAUGAUACUAAAGUGAAGAAGCGCGAAAUUACAGUGAUGGUUUUUGUAGUUUACCCUAAAAAGAAAAAAGUGGUGAGAGAGAAAAAAGAGGGAGAGUUUCUGCCUGUGUAAAGAUGACAAUAAUAGGAUAAUUUAAUUGAUCGGAAACGUAGAGAGACACUACAAAAAAAACGGUCUAUAACAACACUUUUAAAUAUAGAUCCAUGUCAAAAAAGUACUACUAGCUAAAAUUACCGACACUUCUAAAAAGUGUUGCUAUAUGUGGGGUCGCUAGGUAUAUAGUGACAGUUAAAAAGUGUCGCUAUAAUCUAAAAAAGUGCUGCUAAUUUACCAACAUUUAUUUAAGUAUUUAGCAAUCGCCGAAACUCUAUCUCGUUGGCUGCGGUGGUGGAGAAGGACGACAGUAAAUGCUCUUCGUCUAGAAUUUCAGUGGAUUGAGUAAAGAGAGAAGAAAAGAUGGUAAUUGAUUUUUCUUUUUUUUUUCUUUUCUGUUUGUAAUCGGGCCAAAUAGACUGGGUGUGUGGGUUGAGUAGAGUAAUCUUUUAUUUUUGGUUGGAUUGUGCUUUAUAUUUAGGCAUUAAUAGAUGUUUUAAGUUUUAGCAUAAAUGGAAUACUUACUUAAAAGUGUUCCAAAUAUAUGUCUUUAUAACCUAAUUCUGUUGUAGUGAGAGAAUAAGGUGUUACUGACAUAUUUUAAAGAAUUUUUUUUUUGUUUUU